rnacentral:sRNA from 1 species
UGACAAUAUACGGUUAAUCCGAAACAUACAUCUGGGAUAGGUGAUAUUUAGGAUUAUGCUCAAUAUCAAUAUAAUUCAGAAAAUGAAGAUAUACGGAAUUAUCUGACAAAAAAAUGCCGGCAUUACGCCGGCAUUGAGAAU